rnacentral:rRNA from 1 species
GAUGAACGCUAGCGGCAGGCUUAAUACAUGCAAGUCGUGGGGCAGCAUGAGUAGCAAUACUUGAUGGCGACCGGCAAACGGGUGAGGAACACGUACACAACCUUCCUUCAAGCGGGGAAUAGCCCAGAGAAAUUUGGAUUAAAUACCCCAUAAUAUAUUUGAUAAGGCAUCUUAUUAAUAUUAAAGCUUCGGCACUUGAUGAUGGGUGUGCGGCUGAUUAGAUAGUUGGCGGGGUAACGGCCCACCAAGUCUACGAUCAGUAGCUGAUGUGAGAGCAUGAUCAGCCACACGGGCACUGAGACACGGGCCCGACUCCUACGGGAGCAGCAGUAAGGAUAUUGGACAAUGGACGAAGUCUGAUCCAGCCAUGCCGCGUGAAGGAUUAAGGUCCUACUGGAUUGU